GUUUGGUUUGAUUAGAGUGGCUUACCGGUUGUUGAUGAUCUUGACGUGUGGAAACGUUCUUAUUGCAAUCAUUCCACGCUUCUGUAAUUGUUACUUUGGUAAGAAAUAUUAUUUAAAAAGAAUAUUAAUUUCCAACUUGGGUUGUGCGCUUGAUGUUGGUUAAAAUAAGAUUUGGGGAAAACAACACCGUGAAAUUGCUAAAGUUGUUGUAACUAAGAUUGUGGUGUUCAGAAUCAUGUGUGCAUUGCCAAGCGCAAAAUCUGAUUAUGCGAUAGACAGCUUAUCUAGUUGCUGUAGUGUUUACAUGAGAAAAGUAGUAGAGGAAAUAUAGUUGAGCAGUGUAUAUCCAAAUAUAAGGUGAUCCAAAUUUGACAUGUUAUUGCACAUUAGGUAUGUAGUAAGAUUAUAUGGAAUCUGAUUUACUUUAUUCAAGCUUGAAUAUCAGUAGUAUAGU